rnacentral:lncRNA from 1 species
AUAAAUAUUAAUUUAAUCAACUCAUUCGUAUAGGUCGCGCAAUUUCAUAAUAAAUAUUAAAUAAAUACUAGUAUAGUAUAGGGAUAGUUAAUAAAUAUGUAUAGAAGAUAUACAAAUUAAGUAGUUUCGAUCCGUCAAAAUUAUAAUGUUUUAGCAGAAAAAUAAAUAAAAAAAUUAAGUAGUGAUCUACCCGUAAAAUUUUAGCAGAAAAAU